rnacentral:misc_RNA from 1 species
GAUGAAGAACGCAGUGAAAUGCGAUAAGUAGUGUGAAUUGCAGAAUUUAGUGAAUCAUCGAAUCUUUGAACGCACAUUGCGCCCUUUGGUAUUCCUUAGGGCAUGCCUGUUCGAGCGUCAUCUACACCCUCAAGCACAGCUUGGUGAUGGGCGCCUGUCCCGCCCCCCACGGGGGCGCGGACUCGCCUCAAAUACAUUGGCGGCCGGCGACCUGGCUUCGAGCGCAGCAGAAACGCGUACUCGGGGACCGGGCGCCCGCUCCCAGAAGCCAACCCACCCAGUUUGACCUCGGAUCAGGUAGGGAUACCCGCUGAACUUAAGCAUAUCAAUAAGCGGAGGA